GGGUUGUGAGGUUAAGCGACUAAGCGUACACGGUGGAUGCCCUGGCAGUCAGAGGCGAUGAAGGGCGUGCUAAUCUGCGAUAAGCGCCGGUAAGGUGAUAUGAACCGUUAUAACCGGCGAUACCCGAAUGGGGAAACCCAGUGUGAUUCGUCACACUAUCAUUAACUGAAUCCAUAGGUUAAUGAGGCGAACCGGGGGAACUGAAACAUCUAAGUACCCCGAGGAAAAGAAAUCAACCGAGAUUCCCCCAGUAGCGGCGAGCGAACGGGGAGGAGCCCAGAGCCUGAAUCAGCAUGUGUGUUAGUGGAAGCGUCUGGAAAGGCGCGCGAUACAGGGUGACAGCCCCGUACACAAAAGCGCAUGUGCUGUGAGCUCGAUGAGUAGGGCGGGACACGUGGUAUCCUGUCUGAAUAUGGGGGGACCAUCCUCCAAGGCUAAAUACUCCUGACUGACCGAUAGUGAACCAGUACCGUGAGGGAAAGGCGAAAAGAACCCCGGCGAGGGGAGUGAAAAAGAACCUGAAACCGUGUACGUACAAGCAGUGGGAGCCCCACCACUAAGCCAGUGGUGAACUCCACAUACGCAUCCUUUGCUGAGGAUACAGUUAACGGAGCGAAAGCGACGUUCAACCGCAAAAGAAGCAGAGGGGGCUUAGUGGUGGGGUGACUGCGUACCUUUUGUAUAAUGGGUCAGCGACUUAUAUUCUGUAGCAAGGUUAACCGAAUAGGGGAGCCGCAGGGAAACCGAGUCUUAACCGGGCGUUAAGUUGCAGGGUAUAGACCCGAAACCCGGUGAUCUAGCCAUGGGCAGGUUGAAGGUUGGGUAACACUAACUGGAGGACCGAACCGACUAAUGUUGAAAAAUUAGCGGAUGACCUGUGGCUGGGGGUGAAAGGCCAAUCAAACCGGGAGAUAGCUGGUUCUCCCCGAAAGCUAUUUAGGUAGCGCCUCGUGAAUUCAUCUCCGGGGGUAGAGCACUGUUUCGGCUAGGGGGCCAUCCCGGCUUACCAACCCGAUGCAAACUGCGAAUACCGGAGAAUGUUAUCACGGGAGACACACGGCGGGUGCUAACGUCCGUCGUGAAGAGGGAAACAACCCAGACCGCCAGCUAAGGUCCCAAAGUCAUGGUUAAGUGGGAAACGAUGUGGGAAGGCCCAGACAGCCAGGAUGUUGGCUUAGAAGCAGCCAUCAUUUAAAGAAAGCGUAAUAGCUCACUGGUCGAGUCGGCCUGCGCGGAAGAUGUAACGGGGCUAAACCAUGCACCGAAGCUGCGGCAGCGACGCUGAUGCGUUGUUGGGUAGGGGAGCGUUCUGUAAGCCUGUGAAGGUGGCCUGUGAGGGUUGCUGGAGGUAUCAGAAGUGCGAAUGCUGACAUAAGUAACGAUAAAGCGGGUGAAAAGCCCGCUCGCCGGAAGACCAAGGGUUCCUGUCCAACGUUAAUCGGGGCAGGGUGAGUCGACCCCUAAGGCGAGGCCGAAAGGCGUAGUCGAUGGGAAACGGGUUAAUAUUCCCGUACUUGGUGUUACUGCGAAGGGGGGACGGAGAAGGCUAUGUUGGCCGGGCGACGGUUGUCCCGGUUUAAGCGUGUAGGUGUGUGUUCCAGGUAAAUCCGGUUCACUUUAACACUGAGGCGUGACGACGAGGCACUACGGUGCUGAAGCAACAAAUGCCCUGCUUCCAGGAAAAGCCUCUAAGCAUCAGGUAACAUCAAAUCGUACCCCAAACCGACACAGGUGGUCAGGUAGAGAAUACCAAGGCGCUUGAGAGAACUCGGGUGAAGGAACUAGGCAAAAUGGUGCCGUAACUUCGGGAGAAGGCACGCUGACACGUAGGUGAAGUGAUUUACUCAUGGAGCUGAAGUCAGUCGAAGAUACCAGCUGGCUGCAACUGUUUAUUAAAAACACAGCACUGUGCAAACACGAAAGUGGACGUAUACGGUGUGACGCCUGCCCGGUGCCGGAAGGUUAAUUGAUGGGGUCAGCGCAAGCGAAGCUCCUGAUCGAAGCCCCGGUAAACGGCGGCCGUAACUAUAACGGUCCUAAGGUAGCGAAAUUCCUUGUCGGGUAAGUUCCGACCUGCACGAAUGGCGUAAUGAUGGCCAGGCUGUCUCCACCCGAGACUCAGUGAAAUUGAACUCGCUGUGAAGAUGCAGUGUACCCGCGGCAAGACGGAAAGACCCCGUGAACCUUUACUAUAGCUUGACACUGAACAUUGAGCCUUGAUGUGUAGGAUAGGUGGGAGGCUUUGAAGUGUGGACGCCAGUCUGCAUGGAGCCGACCUUGAAAUACCACCCUUUAAUGUUUGAUGUUCUAACGUGGACCCGUGAUCCGGGUUGCGGACAGUGUCUGGUGGGUAGUUUGACUGGGGCGGUCUCCUCCUAAAGAGUAACGGAGGAGCACGAAGGUUGGCUAAUCCUGGUCGGACAUCAGGAGGUUAGUGCAAUGGCAUAAGCCAGCUUGACUGCGAGCGUGACGGCGCGAGCAGGUGCGAAAGCAGGUCAUAGUGAUCCGGUGGUUCUGAAUGGAAGGGCCAUCGCUCAACGGAUAAAAGGUACUCCGGGGAUAACAGGCUGAUACCGCCCAAGAGUUCAUAUCGACGGCGGUGUUUGGCACCUCGAUGUCGGCUCAUCACAUCCUGGGGCUGAAGUAGGUCCCAAGGGUAUGGCUGUUCGCCAUUUAAAGUGGUACGCGAGCUGGGUUUAGAACGUCGUGAGACAGUUCGGUCCCUAUCUGCCGUGGGCGCUGGAGAACUGAGGGGGGCUGCUCCUAGUACGAGAGGACCGGAGUGGACGCAUCACUGGUGUUCGGGUUGUCAUGCCAAUGGCACUGCCCGGUAGCUAAAUGCGGAAGAGAUAAGUGCUGAAAGCAUCUAAGCACGAAACUUGCCCCGAGAUGAGUUCUCCCUGAGACUUAGAGUCUCCUGAAGGAACGUUGAAGACGACGACGUUGAUAGGCCGGGUGUGUAAGCGCAGCGAUGCGUUGAGCUAACCGGUACUAAUGAACCGUGAGGCUUAACCUUACAACGCCGAAG
rnacentral:rRNA from 1 species